AGGCCCUCUCCGACCUGGUGGUUCCGGACACCCAAGAACCGUCCGGAACCACCCAGCAAGCUUUGGCCAGGACUUUUAAUCCAUUGGUUGUGGGUUCGAGUCCCACAGGGCCUA
rnacentral:tRNA from 1 species